CAUGAAUGCACUUCUUCAAAUCAAUUCUAUCCAUCAAAUCACUGAUUAAAUCAACAGUUGACCAAGUUUGACUUUUCUAGGGUUUUGGGUGAUUGGACCACUUCUGAUGAAUUCCAAACCCUAAUUUUCUUGAGAACUUGACUCUCAAAUGAUGUCCCAAGUUGUAUGAACUUUUGAUUAAUGAUCAUGGUGCCCAAAUUCUGCAAGAAUGGCCACCAUCCAUUGCUUUGACUGAUCAAUGACUGUCUUUGACCUAAUUGCUGAUGAUUGCUUCCACUGCAAGCAACAAGGUAGACUGACAAUAUUUUUGUACUUUUGAAUGAUAAACAUAUGAAAGCAAAGAUAUACAAAUGCAGAGUAUGCUUGGUGAUCAAGAAACAAACCCAC
rnacentral:lncRNA from 1 species